CUGCAAUGUAUAUGUUAAUUCUUUCUCUUUGUGUUCUCACCUUGGAGGCAGAGGCAAUAUGUGGCACAACAACAGCAUUCUUCUGUUCAGCAAGUCCAGGUUUCAUGAAAGGUUCAUCCUGUUGAGAACACAUUACUGAUCAGUACAUUGUGUCAUUGUUCUCCAGUGAAUUUUAAACAUGAAAGCAGUUAGGAUCCAUUUUCUCCUCUCUUUUUUCCAUCAAAAAAUUAGGAAUAUCAUUACCUCGAAAACAUCGAGCCCAACUCGGAACAUUGGAUUUGCCUUCAGAUGUUCAACCAAAGCAGCUUCAUCAAUCACUGGUCCUCUGCUUGCAUUCACAAGGAUUGCUUCCUGUAAUAGACCAUUAAUUUUAAGAAAAUUAAAGACCUGAACUGUGAUGUUUCUGUUCAUUAUAUCGAUAUAAGAAAGAGCAGGAAGAUUCACCUUCUUCAUAAUGGCCAGACUCUCUUUGUUUACAAGAUGAUAUGUAGUCUUAUCCAAAACCGGAUGAAGACUUAUCUGUAAAUUGCAUAUAAUUAAUUAAUUCAGCUUAUUCCAGUAGUAGAGCUAAUUUUCUUAAAAUUGUGAACAAUACAAACUACAGCUUGAACAUGUUUCUAAUACAGAAAUAAGGUAGAAAUAUCUAACCACAUCAGCUUCUCUGAGAACCUCCUCCAUGGAAGCAGCUCUUUUCCAUGUAACAGGUUGUUCACCAUUUGCCUUCAAGAACUGGCCAUAUGCUGAACAGGAGAUAACAAAGAACAAUGAAUGCUUAACUACAAGUUCAACUCAUGGGGAUGUUAUCGGAAAAAAAGAGGUGAUGAUGAUAACAUGCCUGUGACGAACUUCUCUAGCCGUGUGGCUUGAUACAGAUCGUAGUAUAUCAGGUUCAUCUUGAAGCCCUCAAUCUGUCAUUGCCAUGUUAUAUGCUUUUCAAAUCAAAACACUUUAUGCAUAUUUUCAUUGUUGAUGCAAUUCAAAACUUCAUAAUGUAAUACUGCACUUUAUAAUUGAUCUUUUCCUUCUGGUACUGUGGCUUUUUAUUGAAUAGCCUUUAUUUUUGCUUUCUAAACAAAUCUUGUCCUUGCCUCUGUGUGUGUGUGUGUAGGAUAUCAUUUGUUUCAUUACUUAAUAGCACAGAAUCAAGUGAAAUUUACAGAGAAGCAAAAUGGAAAUAGUACCAUCAUCCUGGCAUAUGCAGAACCAAUACGGCCAGCUCCGAUUACUCCCACUGUCUGCCCCUUCAGCAAGUUUCCGACGAACCUGUUGGGAGCCAUUUGAUCAAAAGAAGUUAUAUUUUUCAUCUGUGGAUAACAGAGUUCAUUAUAACUGCUGAAAAAUUAAGAAGAAUGACCAAGAUCAUACAAGUGGGGAAGCCAUCCGUCGUACAAGCCCGCCCUCAUGAACUGAUCUGCUUCCACUAUUCUUCUGGCAGCUGCCAGUGAAAGUGAAGCAGCUAAUUCAGCCGUUGUUUCUGUAAGAACCCCCUGCGUACACCAUAUCAAUCCCACAUGACAGUGAACACAAAGCAAAAGAAAAUCUAAAGGAUAUUAUGGUGAUUAAUAUUUAAACGACCAAGUUCUUUGUUACUCCAAUCGUGCCUCCAGUAUAACCUUUUCUACUAACCAGAUCAGAAACAACAUGGCCAAGAAUACAAAGACUGUGAAGUCUGUCCAUAUGAAACUUACUGGGGUGUUCCCGACGGCAAUACCGUACUUGUUAGCAGCGUUGAUAUCGACAUUAUUGUACCCGACUGCCAUGUUGCUGAACGCAGAUCCUCCAGCUCUCUUCAGCGCCGAGAACAGCACGUCUCCCCAGUCCUCUGUUAACUGCGGC
rnacentral:lncRNA from 1 species